UCACUAUUGAAGACGUCGAGACAGCAAUCAUUGGCUCCGAUUUUCUAGCCUAUUUCAAUCUACUCCCGGGCUGCCGCAACAAACUGUUACGAGAUGGUUCUACCAGGCUUUAUGUUCCUGCCUCCAUCUGUAACAAGUCAACUCAGUGUUAAGGCUGUGGUUUCUGACAAUGAAUUUGCACGCCUCCUUUUAGACUUCCCAGAAAUCACCAAACCGCCUGGUCUUCCGAGAGUCGUCAAGCACAACACUCUGCAUUACAUCAAAACCACAGAUGGCCCACCAGUUUCUUGCCGGCCCCGUCGUUUGGCCCCUUAAAAACUGGCAGACGCUAAAAAAGAAAUUAAAGAGAUGGUGCGCUCCGGUACUGAAGGCCUUCAGAUAGCCAGUGCUCGUCUCCGUUGCACUUGACCUUGAAAAAUGACAGCACCUGGCGCCCUUGCGGCGAUUAUCGCAGUCUGAAUGCCAGGACCAUUCCGGAUCGUUACCAUGUGAGGCAUAUUCAUGACUUUGCUAACAGCCUCAGCGGAGCCACCGUUUUCAGCACCCUUGACCUGGUAAAGGCUUAUCAUCAAAUUCCUGUGGUACAAGAGGACAUUCCCAAGACAGCUAUUACCAGUCCAUUUGGCCUCUUCGAAUUCCCAUUCAUGACCUUCGGUUUGAGGAAUGCGAGUCAAACCUUUCAAAGGUUCAUCGAUGAGGUCACACGGGGUUUGGAUUUCUGUUUUCCUUAUGUGGACGAUAUCCUCAUCUUCUCUAAGGACGAGGCUCUCCACAAGGACCUGCGGACUCUUUUCCAACGCCUUCAUGAUUAUGGUGUUGUUUUGAACCCUUCCAAGUGCAAUUUUGGAGUAAGAGACGCCCGAUUUUUGGGUUACAUUGUAACUCCCGAUGGCACUCGCCCUCCGCAAGAACGAAUCCAAAUCCUACUGGAUUUUCCUCCUCCCAAAACCGUACAGGGUAUGCGCCGUUUUCUGGGCAUGUUAAAUUUUUAUAGACGUUUUAUUCCUCAGGCUGCUAAAUUUCAGGCUCCCUUAAUUGACGCUGUCGUCUCUACCAAUGGUAAAGGCACUAAACCAUUCUCAUGUACGCCGGAGCUUCUUGAGCAUUUCGAAGCCUGUAAAGCCAGCCUAUCUAGUGCCACGUUAUUGCAACACCCGAUCAUGGAUGCACCCCUUGGAUUAUUUACCGAUGCAUCAAGUGUCCAUGUUGGUGCUUGCCUUCAGCAACAGGUGGACGGUGCCUGGAAUCCCCUCGCUUUCCUCAGCAGGAAAUUGACUUCUCGGCAAGCUCAGUGGCCUGCUUAUUAUCGGGAAUUGCUGGCGGUGUACGAAAGCGUACAACAUUUUCGCCACAUUCUCGAAGCGCUACACGUGACUAUAUAUACUGGCCAUAAGCCACUGCUGUACGCCUUCGUACAACGUCGUGAAAAAUUACCUCCAUCGCAACUGAACCAGCUAUCUUUUAUUAGUCAAUUUUCAACUGACAUUCAAUAUGUUAGGGGUGAAGAUAACGUCGUCGCGGACACUUUAUCCCGCAUCGAGGCGAUUUCACUCGAAGACGGUUUCGCCGCACUAGCUCAGUCUCAAAUGUCUGACAUAGAGUUGGCGAAAAUGCAAGAAGGAUCGGCCUUGAAAUUGGAACAGGUUGUGAUCCCGGGCACCAACAUCACUCUAAUAUGUGAUACCUCAACCGGUCGCCAUCGACCUUAUCUCACUUCGCCGUUCCGUCAAGUUGCUUUCGACCGUUGCCAUAACCUCAGCCACCCUGGUGCUCGGGCAUCUUUACGCUUGGUAGCAAGUCGCUACGUAUGGCCUAACAUCAACAAAGAUUGUCGCGAGUGGGCACGUUGCUGUAUUUAGUGCCAGAGAAGCAAGGUAUCGCGACAUGUUAAAUCACAUGUUGGUCGAUUUGAUUAACCUAUCAGUCGAUUCCGUCAUCUGCACAUCGACAUCAUCGGCCCACUUCCAUGUUCUAACGGUUUCAGUUAUUGUUUGACCGCCAUAGACCGUUAUACACGGUGGCCGGAGGCUUGGCCGAUGGUGACGAUAACUGCAGAAGAAGUUUCCGAUAAACUAGUGUCAGGAUGGAUUGCCCGUUUCGGUGUUUCUAGCAUCGUCACCACCGAUUAGGGGCGUCAAUUUGAAUCGGCGCUAUUUCGGCGACUCAUGGAUUUCUGCGGAGCGAAAAGAAUCCGCACCACUAGUUAUCAUCCUUUAGACGCCGCCUAUUAUCACCGGCUGGCUGUGGCAGUCUCUUUGGACGAGAGUCGCCAAGGAGAGUGUCAAACUUGCUGGAAAUAUUUGAUAGUUUACAGGUGCAGAGAGAGACUGUGCUGUGUGUCUUCAGAAAUGUCACUACCCCACUCAACUGCCAUGUGGCCACAUAUUUUGUUUUUUAUGUGUAAAGGUUGGUGGAAAUAUGAUGAGCGCAGUAAUAGUGAGUUAGAGGCUGCCUUCAAUUCUGGUGAGACAGCAUGCAAGUUGCUGCUGGCUGGAGCUUUGUACUGUAUAGAUUUCCAGAAUAUGGUGCAGGUGCA